UCUACUUUUACUUUCGGUUUUGUAGUUAUUUUCAGUUCCCGCGCUUUGGUCAUGUGAUUAGUCAUGUGGUAGUUUUAUACCUGUUGUACGUCAUUCUUUCGCUAUAACUGACAGAGGUCAGACAUGUUUUAUAGAGAGAAGUGAAACGUUUGUCUUGAGUUUUCUAAACUCGGCUUGCAGUGUGAGGUGUAGCAUUUUAUCCUUUUGUAAAGUAGAUACAGUAACUGGAGCACAGAAAGAGAGACGUGGUGUGUGUCAUGUGUUGUUACAGAAAGGGUUUGAUCCCAUCAGAUCAACCUGAAAGGUUUUGGUAUCUGUCCGUAAGAAGGAAUAGUAUUUAGAAGAGUGCUGGUAUUAACUGUUAUCAACUGGCAUUAAAUACAAUAAAGUAUAAAAGAUCGAACAAGUCUUCUUGGAUGUGUUUGGCCAUAGUAUAUAGUCGCAGAUCCCAAGAUUACAGUAAAUCAUUUGAGUAUGAAAUAUUUUGUUUUUGUUCUAAAUAGAAAUAACUUUUAAUGACAAUGCUAAUUUAAUGCCGAUUAUUUCUAAGUAAUGCUAAUUUAAUGCAUUACUUUUACAAAUAAUUAUUAACAAACCUGCCUCUGAACAGAGGCCACCUGGCUCUAAAACAACACAUGUUUUGUUUCCCAUUUUUACAUUUACAGUGUAUAUUAACCUGUGAAUAAAGACCACCUCCCAAUAAAGACCACAUACUGGCUCUCCCAAGGGUGGUCCUUAUAGACAUGUUUGACUGUAAAAUGUUUUCUCACUGUUUUCUCAUUGCAGAUACCAUUAUAGAAUUUUGUUUAGUAGAUAUAUAAAUUUGUUCUAUGGAUAGUGAUACAUUGUAUAGCUUCAUCAAUUUUAUAUGUAAAUGGAGAGCACGCCUUAUCGUCACCCUUGGCCGCUGCCCUGCUUUACUGUUGCCAGGCCGGCGCCUCUCUGCGGGGAGUCUCUUCAGUGCAUUUCCCUUGCGGUGAAUAAUAUACAUGCAUGCAAAAAUUAGAUAAAUACUAAGUGGCAGGUAUAUACACUUAAGAAAGGCAGCCAGACCGGUUGUAGAACUACAGAGAGGCAUGCAGACAGACAGAUAAAAGAUAGAUAGACAGUCAGACAGAUAUACAGACUGAUCUUCAUACAAACCAACAGGCAUAAGAUAUAGAAACAGAAUAUUAGGUUGUGAGAACGAUAGACAGAGAAAGUCCAUUCUAACUUGUGCAGAUGACGAGUGAUGAUCGUGAAAUAUGCAGGGAAAAUAUCGCUCAUUAGACUGUUUUGAAGUUUUGGUCAUUUAUAUUUCCAUUUACUGGCGCUGUGAGUGGAGAAAAAAACAACAGCAAUCAAGAACAUAUUAUCAAGCAACACAAGUGGAGGAGGCUGUGCAAUUUGUGAAGGUUUUUUUUUUUUCUUUUUUAAACGAGCGCUAGUUUUAUGUGAAGUUAUAUAUCCGCAUUGUAUUCAGAGAGUAGUUAGUUAGUAGAAUUGUUCUUGAUAUAAUCAAAUAAGUUGUCGCUAAACGACCAGGACGUCAACAUGGUCAAUAGUAUGAUGUAACGUAAAUUGUGACGUCAUGCGCGUGUAUUCGAAUGAGUGGAAGAGCAUAGCGUUACGUAAUUAAAUCUUUAACAAAAAUGAUUGUACAUGAAAUAAUUUAUACAUAUGGUGGAAAAGUACUAAAGAAAACAUGGUACAGUAGAUGCGUCUGCUACUGUUUUGCAGGGAAGAGGCUGUAAAAUUUCGUCGCUAACCUAUUGUCACCGAAUGCUGGUAUAUCGUCGAUAAGAUUUGAUCUAAACUGUAUCUGUUUGAUCUGUUUUGAUGACAGUGUGCUCUAAAAACUGACAGAAAAUUUUAAUAUGCGAAAGUUUACUUAGAGAUGUAUUCCGAAGCUCCUGGUAGACGAAGACGUGUAUCUCCGAAACGUUCUUGUAACUGUAUCGAUACCAAGAAAACUAUUUCUUAGGUAACAUGGGUCAUCGUUCAGUUAUGGUUUCGAUAUUCAAUAUGCAAACAACAGAGUAGUUGUAUGAAGAAAGAGUCAUACUUACAAUAUAUCGGGCAUUUAAAAUGUUGACAUUAUAAUUAUGAUAUUUGCAUAAUAUAUAGAAUGAGAAACAAAUAUGGCGUCGCAUAGUAAGUCUAAGAUUACAGUUAUUGUUAUCUCAGUUAUUACCAAAUGGAUUUGAUUCAAACUUAAAAUACAUGUUCCAUCUUAUCACCCACAUCAUGUGAUACAAGGUGCAUAACUCUGACACCAAGUUUUCAUGAAUUAUGUCCCCUUUUACUUAGAAUUUAAGGUUAAUUUUGAUGUAUUUUCACUAUAUCUCAGUUACUACUGAAUGGAUUUGAUUCAAACUUAAAAUAGAUGUUCCACCUCAUCACCCACAUCAUGUGACACAAGGUGCAUAACUCUGACACCAAUUUUUCUUGAAUUGUGUCCCCUUUUACCUAGAAUUUAAGGUUUAUUUUGAUGUAUUUUCACUAUAUCUCAUUCUGAUUGGCUUAGAGCCAAAGGGAA